CAGGUGAUGCCUCUUGCGAAAACCCUAUAACUACAUUGGUUUUCAUUUAUUUGCUCCUUAAAUCCGUCCAUUAACGUGUUAACCCACUUGUCCAUCGACCUCUUCAUCUUUCUAGGUAACCUCCGAAGACAACCAAGCCGGCACCGGCUUAGCUAUUAUAUAAUGAUGUUUCCCAAUCCUUUGAUAAGCAGAAACCACAUCAGAUGACUGAGCAGAUGAUGGGGCUGGCCACAAAAACUUAUGUGUAUCAUUGGUCAAUUGAAGGUUUGUAUUUGUAUCUUUUACAUACUGUCAUCUUCUCAAUAUCUUGUAUAUGUAGUUUGUCAAUCUGUUUAACCAGGGGAUCUUGAAGAUCAUCAACCACCAUACCUUCUUCAACUGGAGUUACAAUACAGAGACAGAUUCUAUUGAUUGCUUGAACUUCCUCCUUCUUCUUUAUUAAUUUCAAUUAGCUGAUGAGUUUUUAUUGUUUUGUUCCUUGUCAUAGAGUAGUUGUGGACAUGUGCGUCAGGAGGUGGUGACUGUGAGAGAUCGACUGGAGAAGAAAGAGCAAGAUCCAGGAUUUUCGAGAGUAAGAGGAGACGAAGCCAUGGAUUCACGCCAAAGAACAAGAUAGACAAACUUACAAGGAAAUAAAGCUUCCCAAAUACUUUUUAAGCUGUUCAUUGGUGCAUUUGAGUGAGAUCCUAAGGCCCUUGGGAGCAAUGCAAAUGCAGAGUCAAAGUUUGGGUGACAAGUAUUGAACACACAGGAAUUAUCAAGAAGAGAAGUCAUAUAAUAAAUCAAAUUCCAUUUUUUCUGUUUUGUUUAAAAGUUUUUGAUUUUUUGUUAUAUAUUAGGCCGAGUAAAUUUAUGAAUAUCAUUGUAACUUCAGGUUGUAGGAAUAUAUUUAAUUUCCUUUUUGAUUGA